UGCUGCCCAAGAUUGGGUAGCUUGUCUACACUACAUCAGACCCUGGAUUUGAUCCUUUGGAUUGCACCAAAAAGUAGAACUAAGAACAACAAAAAAGUGCUACCCCAAACUGAUAAUGCUGCUCCACCUGCCACCUGACGAAUAUAAAAUAUGCAGGGAGGGGUUUUGAUCGGCCGGUGAAAUGGCUGAUUGAAUUGAAACCUCUUCAAGAUGAUUCAGAUACGCAACUUACCCUUUUGUGUUUGUCACGGUCCUUUUUUUGGAAAUGUGUCUUUUACGUCAGUUUAGGGUUUUGAUUCUCUUCAAACUUGUCAUAUUUUGUUUUUAUUGGUCUAUUCUUGUAUCUUUAUGGAUUUUAAUUUUUCAUCAUGUAUAAGAAAUUCAGGUUUUUUUUCAAGCAACAUAUCAGUUAAAAUAUAUUUUGUUCAUGUAUUGUCUUAGCCUUUUGGAAUUUUGGAGUUUGUUCUUCAUAUCAUACAGAAGAUUAGCAAUGUCUAGCAGUGCAGCAUUACUUUAAAUUUGAAAAGGUAUCACAAAAAUUGACUCGAAGGUUGUUCUUGUAUGAUGAGAUUAUGUUACUUCUUUGAUAUCUUAAUAAUGCCUCCUUUGGAAGUUGGAGUCUGUUAAGUUUUCUAUGUAGCUGGUCAACUAGUGCUGACUUUAUCUGUCGUGCUAGUACCUGUCCUACCACUGCAUUGAUGAGGAUAACAUGAGAUUCAUUGCAUGCUUUAUGGGCAUCAGGAUACACCCCAUUCCUAGCUAUUAUCUGUCAAACUUGUGCUCCCAUGAGAAAAAGAAUAUGUUCUUUGCUAUCUUUCCCUUGAUGCGUUUCAUUGCAGGCAGGCUUCACAGUGCCCUGCCUUCUUGUUUUGGUUUGGUUUUUUUCAAUGCUCACAAACAAGGUGUUAUCUAAUUGGGUCUAAUUUAGCUAAAGGUCAAAGCCACAAUUGCUUUUUUUUCCUUUUUGAAAAUGCAGGACAUCAUGAAUAAGACAGAAUAAUUUUGUUUUCAGGGUUCUGUAUAAUGUAUAGUUUCCUUGCUGCUGUACCUUGCUAUGUAUUGGAAUCACCAGGAGGAAUUAACAAGAUUAACAAUUUCUAGAACCUUUCUUUUUGAUUUGGUUAUAGUGGGUCUUUGACAUCAAUAUUUUUCUAAAAGCAACCAGAGGAUGGGAAAUAGUUCAGAGGAACUAUUAGCUUGGCCUGAGUAUAAUUUAUUACACAUAUGAAUAGGAAAGACCCGUAGAUUCAAACAAUCUGCAGAGCUUGCCAGAGACUUGCUGAAUUCCAAAGGCUAAUGUCAAUUUCAAGAAGAUUCUACUCUAGGCAAGGAGUAGUCUGGCACCUAUUAGAAUUUAAAAACAAGUUGUUUCUCUGUAUUUACAGGUUCUGCUGCAUCCACAGAUAGAAAAUAUUAGAAAAAUUACAUAUGUAAAUUUGGGAGGUGGACCUUCUGGUAUAUCUCAGUGACAUAGCUCAAACUAUGUGAGACCCUGGGUUCUUUUGCCAGUACAAGAGUGAAAGCAAAGUACAAAGCAGCACAACCAUAGGGUAUAAUGCUGUAUUUUCUAGAAGGGACUUGAUCAUCAUAAGAUUUUAUAUUUGAAGGGAGUCAAGGAACCAAUAUUCCAGAUUCCAAAGGACAACUCUAAUCAGUUUGAUGGUUUGAUAGUUUGAAUUUUCAGGAAAAUAAUAUAUUCCUGUAUAUUUGCUGUAUUGAUGCAUAUUCCAGAGUGACUUAAAAUAAAUUACUUUUAUCUUC
rnacentral:lncRNA from 1 species